UACAGAGGGUGCGAGCGUUAAUCGGAAUUACUGGGCGUAAAGCGUGCGUAGACGGUUAUUUAAGUCGGGUGUGAAAGCCCCGGGCUCAACCUGGGAAUUGCAUUCGAGACUGAAUAGCUAGGGUACGGUAGAGGGAAGCGGAAUUUCCGGUGUAGCGGUGAAAUGCGUAGAUAUCGGAAGGAACAUCAGUGGCGAAAGCGGCGAUCUGGGAAGAUACUGACGCUGAGGUGCGAAAGCGUGGGGAGCAAACAGG
rnacentral:rRNA from 1 species